rnacentral:rRNA from 1 species
UACGUAGGGUGCAAGCGUUAAUCGGAAUUACUGGGCGUAAAGCGUGCGCAGGCGGUUAUGUAAGACAGGUGUGAAAUCCCAGGGCUUAACCUUGGAACUGCAUUUGUGACUGCAUAGCUAGAGUACGGUAGAGGGGGAUGGAAUUCCGCGUGUAGCAGUGAAAUGCGUAGAGAUGUGGAGGAAUACCGAUGGCGAAGGCAGCCCCCUGGGAUAACACUGACGCUCAUGCACGAAAGCGUGGGGAGCAAACAGG